GCACGCCGGGUGACAACCGGCCGCAACGGAGAUGGCGGACGCAAGCCAAUUUUGCCGGUUUCUGGCUGCGACAUCAACGCAUCGGUACGCGCUAACGCCUAACCCGUUCCCGGC
rnacentral:sRNA from 20 species